UACAGAGGUGGCAAGCGUUGUUCGGAAUUACUGGGCGUAAAGGGCGCGUAGGCGGUCUUGUAUGUCUUGUGUGAAAUCCCUCGGCUUAACUGAGGAACUGCACAGGAUACUGCGAGACUUGAGUUCGGGAGAGGGAAGCGGAAUUCCCGGUGUAGCGGUGAAGUGCGUAGAUAUCGGGAGGAACACCAGAGGCGAAGGCGGCGCACUGGACAGCAACUGACACUCAACUGCGAAAGCGUGGGGAGCAAACAGG
rnacentral:rRNA from 1 species